UAGAGCAGAUAAAAAAGCUGUGAAUACUGUCUUCCCUUCCCAAACGUCAACUCUUCCCCUUCUUUCUCCCUGCUCCCUUCCACCUUCAUUCUCUCUCUCCUCCCUUCGUUAUCCUCUCUCCCCCUCUUCUCUUUCAUGUAGCAGCGCCACCGUCCUCUAGUCACCAACAAUCGUCUAAUUAUACCUCUAUAAUCCUCUUCCCUUCCUCUUUUCAACCCCACAAGUUAGUUUCUACAAAUUCGAAGCCGAAGUUCCUCAAUUUCAGAUCUAAGAAACGGUGACUGCGGGUUUUCCGACCAAUUCCGGCGAAGUCUGCCGAAAUUGGACCUCAACCCAAGAGUGUUUGGAUAGAUUCUAGAUUUCAAAUUUGAAUACGAUUUUCCAUAUGCGUGUCGAAGAUUGGGGAUGAGGAAGGUGAAUCAAGGUUUAAGGUGAACAGGGUGAUUUUCUCAUUGCACUGAGGAAUUUGUGGAGCAUGAUGUCGUGCAUAAAGCACUUAUGGCCCUUUUGAGGCAAUAUGGUAAAGCAUUAUUCAAGCACAUUGGGAGUGUUGAGGAACCAAGCACAUAUGAGAUCAUUCGGGAGAAGGUUUAAAGCUUCAUUAGAGAUAAGAUGAGAAUAUUACUUUUUUGAAUGCCCAAUAUGAUUGUUAACAUGUAUCUCUUUAAGAUAACUAGAUGUUAAAUGAUCAAAAUUGUACGUAUUUCCUAUUAAAGCUGAAAUUUUGAAGCCUCAGGAGAAAAUGGAAAGGCAUAUUACUGGUUCGAUAAAAAAAGAGUUUGGAAGAUGUGACUGGUGCAGACUUUAGAAUGUUUGUGGACUUCUUAAAAUGUCUGAGCAUAUUUGGGGAGAGAGCGCCUGCUGAAUGCAUGAAAGAACGUACUGGACUUGUUGAAAAACCAAGCGGAUUUAGAUGCCCAAUUCAAUGUGGCACUUGUUUUAUUGUGUUGAUUUAAGGAUAAAGAAUAACAGCUUCUGACCAAGCCCAACAUGCAAUAUCGGAAUUGACUGCUGGAAUGUUGGAUGAUGACAAGGGUGAUUUUCUCGGCACUGCAAUCCGUGAGCUUGGAGCAAAAAGAUGUUACAAGGAUUUGGAAAACGAGAACUUGGGAUCAGUUAAAGUGGUGCUAUGCAUUUAUAGGAAGCUGUUAUCUUUGUGUAAGGAGCAAAUGUAAGUUUGAAGUAGCUUAAUCUUGUAACAGAAUUGUGAUUUUGGUAAGGGAAGCUUUUGUCAUUUA